rnacentral:lncRNA from 1 species
UGCCUGGUUGUUUAUUGUUUUUUAACUUAUGAAUACCUUUACGGACCUCUCCACAAGUAAAAGGAAAAUCUAGAGGGCCUGUAUCUGAAAAAUCUUGAGCUGUAGGUAUAAAAUUGGGGUUUUCAUGUUUAUCUGCUGCAUAUAAAUCUUUCAUAUAUUUGUGCCAAUCAGAGAUACUAAUUGGAUUAGUUUUAACAGUAUUAUUUUUUAAUUUAUCAAUAGUUUCCCAAAACAAUUUUGGAUUAUUUUCAUGUAGAGUAUCAAGUUUUGCAACUAAAUC